AUGUCUUCGUGCGAGGACAAGGACUCCGCCACCACGCAGGCCGCAGCGACCACGGACAUGGAGCUACUGAAGCAGUUUUGGCGUAACGAGAAGGCCGCGCUGGAGAUCCUCCACUUCGACUCCGCCCUCGUCUCCCAUACCCUAUGGCCAUUGGUAGAGGAGACGUUUGAUGACUUCACGGAUAACGGCAUCGAUGACCUAGUGGUUUCAUUGUACCAGAUGGAGCUCGACCACACGCUCUUCCUGCUCUGCUCCUACGGUCAUACCUACGCCUCCAAGCUUCCCUACGGUCAUGACUCGGUAACAAGGCAAUCAUCAUCGAGCACGGAGGAUGACAUGGGUACUCCACUUGAUCUUGAAAUUAACAUCACUUCUUUGUCACAGUUGUUGCCUCCACUACGCGCUCGACCUAGCUCCUGA
rnacentral:rRNA from 1 species